rnacentral:sRNA from 1 species
UACUUGAGCUUCUUAGCCUAACGGCUAUUGGCUGAUGGUUUUUUAACCAUCAGCCU